rnacentral:lncRNA from 1 species
UGAUAGUCACUGGGCACGAGGAUGCAGAAACUGCCUGCAAGAACAAAAACUGAGAGAAAUGUGGAGUCGCUCGCACGUCUGGAAAUAAUUGCCUGCAGAUUAACAGCUUUCCAUGGGAAUAUGCUGUCUGUGGGGUUCGAAAUCUAGCUGACUUUAAACCGAGUUCCCAGAAGAAACCUAUCUGAGGAGCAUCUGCAAUUACACUCAAACUACUGGGUUUCUAUUCGCCGCUUUCUUCUACUUCGUGCCCAACAUUAAUGUUAAGUUUAAAACAACAAAGGAGGAAAUGGAGUGGCCUUGUCAAGCGCCAUUUCCACUCCCCGACAAUUAAAGCAGCCCCAUAUGGCUGAGAGGAGCCAUCCAGCCACACAAUGCCCCAUGCAGGGCAAAGCCACAUGGACUCAGACCAGCUUAAAGCCAAUUGCAAAACAAAGCAGAGCCGGUUUCUUCCUCAGGAAACAAAGUGGCCGAGCAGGUCUCCUGUCACUAUCUUAAAACACCAGUAAACAUCGUUAAAGAAGUUCCCCCACACACUGUCCCAAUUAGCGCUUCAAAGGCAUUCCAUUGUACCAAGCGUAAUGAAAAAGCACUUUCUUCCAGGAUAAGGAAAAUGCAAUCCUUAUCUCAUUUGCUUUUAAAAAACAGAAUUAAACACAGCAGUCUGAUUACCCGAACUGUUUAUAUAUAGAACAGGGAGGUAAAGCAUUUGCUAUGGAGAGAAAUAGGAAAAAAAUAACAACCAACUGAAAAAAAAAACCCCAAAACCCCAACCCUGCAGCCUUUAGAGCAUUCGGAACUUCCCAGGUCAAUAACAACCUACCCACGCCUCACCUACCGAGUCGAUCCAACUUUUUCUGAAAAAAAAACCCCAAAAAACUGGAGCAACGCGAAGCGGAAAAGAGAAUUAAGCCAAGCCUUUCCUCCAUCCAGGCAGUUAUCGUUGGCCAGGGCAGGUGAUGCAGCCAGCUUGGACCACAAAUCCCUCAGGAUGGAAGUUGUUCAAACAGUGCAGAGCAGCAUCUGGCAGUCUGAGCACAGCAACAGAACUGGAGACUAUUCUUGAAUCUCAGACACUGUCUUGCAAAUCCAACACAAACCAACUUCCGAAUUCAGCAGUGUGGGAGAUGGCAGAGAAAUCAUCUCGAGUCCCAUCUGUUUGUACACAGCAUUCUGGAGAUCCUUGAAUGAGCAGAACAGCCACAGCACUCAAUCACCGACAUCAGAGACAACUCAACUUUCACUAAUUGGCUUUCCUAGGAGAUAUGGAGAUCUGCCCCCAUUUCAGAGACUAAAAUAAAAAACAUGCACAGAGUACGGCCUCA